rnacentral:rRNA from 1 species
CCUACGGGAGGCAGCAGUGAGGAAUAUUGGUCAAUGGCCGGAAGGCUGAACCAGCCAUGCCGCGUGAAGGUCAGUGCCCUAUGGGCGUUAAACUUCUUUUGUGCGGGAGCAAUAAUGGUCACGUGUGGCCAGACGAGAGUACCGUACGAAUAAGCAUCGGCUAACUCCGUGCUAGCAGCCGAGGUAAUACGGGGGAUGCAAGCGUUAUCCGGAUUUAUUGGGGUUAAAGGGUGCGUAUGCUGUGAGGUAAGUCAGCGGUGAAAUGCCCACGCUCAACGGGGUGAAGUGACAUUGAUACUGGAUUGCUAGAAUGCGGAUGCCGUGGGAGGAAUGUGUGGUGUAGCGGUGAAAUGCAUAGAUAUCACACAGAACACCGAUUGCGAAGGCAUCUCACGAAUCCGCGAUUGACGCUGAUGCACGAAAGCGUGGGUAUCAAACAGGAUUAGAUACCCCUGUAGUC